rnacentral:tRNA from 1 species
UGGAUCACCUCCUAACAGGGAGACAAACAACGAUUUUGAUGUCUGAGUUUUUUUAUUCUUAGGCCAAAAUCCUGUCACCUUAGGUCGAUCGGUACCUCAACUUUGAAGCUAAGAGUGUUCAGCAAUGGAUAUCUGCUUAGUGGAAAUUUUUAGUUCCUAAACUUUGUCUAGUUCACAACCCAUUAGGGAUGAGACUCCUGGGCCAUUAGCUCAGGUGGUUAGAGCGCACCCCUGAUAAGGGUGAGGUCCCUGGUUCAAGUCCAGGAUGGCCCAUUCGGUGUAGGGGGUUUAGCUCAGUUGGUAGAGCGCCUGCUUUGCAAGCAGGAUGUCAGGAGUUCGAGUCUCCUAACCUCCACUGACUACCAAAAUCCCCAUCUCCAAAACCUGGAGUAUGAACUCGUAUGGAUUGUGAUUUAGAUGUGUCCGCUAGAUGACCCUAGCUUCUUGUCAUUUUAAGGCAUGGAAAAAAUUCCAUGAAAAUUAAUUGAUAGGAUGCUGGGCUCGAUUCAAUGUAUUGAGAGAUCAAUGCAUUGUUUUGAUGUCUGGUCGAACCUUGACAACUGCAUAGUAAGUCUGGAAAGAAUAAAGCAUCUUUAUGGAUGCAUCAUUCUUGAGUGUUAAUUCACGAUGGGGUGGUGUUAAUUCUAAAGCAAGAGCCGAGACUCCAGCAUGUUCUUUCAAAUGUGUCGAGCAUUUGAGAGUUUGAUUUUAAUUUCUAUUUUUAGAAGUUAGAAGAAUCUGUUUCAACGACAGCAAGCGUGUUGGAGAUACAUUGGUCAAGCUACAAAGGGCUCACGGCGGAUACCUUGGCACACAGAGGCGAUGAAGG